rnacentral:lncRNA from 10 species
AUGGACAACCAGAGAGAGCCAGAGUCGCUACAGCCAGCCUGGCAGUGCAAGCCCGGAGCUGACACAGGGCCACAGCCACGAUGCAGCCACUAAUGCGGACCCUUGGGCUGAGCCUGCUUUCCAUGCUGUGAGCCCAGGGGACCCAGAUGGUUCCUGUCCCCGCUGAGAAGGUGGAAGGACUGUGGCACGCCCUGCGCUGGGAGCAGGACAGGGAGCUACUUAAAGAGGAGACGGCUCACCCUCUGCCACCAUUCUGGAUCCAGCGUUUCCAGGGUAACUUUAUGUUAAAAAUGAAUGUAAGUUUCAGUCAGCAGGUCCCUUUUUAACUGGAUCAUGUGCUGAAGAACGCCACACACGGAGGGCUUGCUCAGGCUCUGGGCUCAGCCCAGGACCUUCCUGCCCCAAGCACCUCACCACAAUCUCUCACAGGCACUUCUGUAAGAUGGGACAGUCCAGUUGCAGGAAAAUGAGCUCAGGGCUCCCACCGAUUCUACACUAUGGGAUCCCACUGGGAACUGCACAGUAUUUAAGACACUGCUGGUGAAAACAGACAACUCUACCACGUACAGAAUCUAUUCCUGCGUGGUCGGCUGUAACUGAGGUGAGUGCCACAAGGCCUCUGCGUGUGUUCAGAGUGUCCACACCAGACUCCGGCCGGACUCAUGGGCCCUGGGACUCCGCAGCCCUCGACCUUGGCAGCCUCCUUGCCUGUGGGUGCUUGAAUGCCACGCAGCAUCCGACACAUCCCACAACCUUGAGUCUGCUAUGAGUCAAGUGUGGUCGCUGUAGAUAAGGAGGAAAAAAGAUCAUGAAAAAGAACAACAACAACAAAAAAUCACUCAUGGCCGGGCGCGGUGGCUCAUGCCUGUAAUCCCAGCACUUUGGGAGGCCAAGGCAGGCAGAACACGAGGUCAAGAGAUCAAAACCAUCCUGGCUAACACGGUGAAACCCUGUCUCUACUAAAAAUACAAAAUAUUAGUCAGGUGUGGCGGCAGGCGCCUAUAAUCCCAGCUACUCGGGAGGCUGAGGCAGGAGAAUGGCGUGAACCCAGGAGGUGGAGCUUGCAGUGAGCCGAGAUCGCGCCACUGCACUCCAGCCUGGGCAACAGAGCAAGACUCCAUUUCAAAAACAAACAAACAAAAAUCACUCCUAAGCUCACCACCCAGGCCAAUGUACUCCAGAAAAAGGGAGAAGGCUUCACCACCUCCCUGUGUGAUUUCAUGUCCCAAGCUCUGUGUCUCAGGGUGUAGGAAGCCCUCUGUUGAAUAAGUCCACCCUCCCUGGCCACAGCCUUAGUCCUACUUGCUGUUUGGGAACAGAAGAUCCCUGCCCGGUGCCUACAGAGGGGUGGGCAGAGGCUGAAACCCUCCUCCAUCUUCCCUCCCAGGCCCCAGGAGCCGAAGAUUCCUCUUCUCACGACAUGAAGCUCCCCUCCCCUCCUCCAGUCCUCAGCUUUCCUUUCUAAGAGAGAAGAGACCGGGGCCUGGGCAGUGAGUGGACAGGACUGUCCCCCUGUCCUCCUCUGUAGGUGCACGCCCCUACAGGUGACACCUCUGGGUCCUCCACACCCUCAGUAGGAGCUCCAGGGCAUGGCUGGUCUCCCAGCCACACGGGAAGCCACAGGAUCCCCAUGGGACAUCCCCAGCCACGUGCCACACUCAGUAACCACCCGUGGGCUUGUGUGCAAAUCCCUGAAGUCAGUGAUGGCUCAAAUGUCGUCUCUGCCACCGUGGAGGUUGGCCAUGGGGGAAAGGUGACGGGGGCAGAAGGGUGAGGGCUCCAAGUGGCUCGAGGAAGGGGCCAUGGUGUGAGCAGGGGCACGGGCGGGCAGUCAAGGAGCUGGGAAGGGCCAGCCAGUCCUGCCCUGGAGCCUCCGGGAGGAGCCAGCGCUGCGGACACCUUGGCUGUAGCCAGGGAGGCUCACUUUGGACUUCCAACCUCCACACCUGUCAGAGGCCACGAGUGUUUAGCCAUUAAAGAAACCUCCAGGGGCUGCGGUGACAAAUGACCACAGACUCAGGAGCUGAACACAACGCACAUGCAUUGUCUCACAAUUCUGGAGUCAAAAGUCUAGAAACAGUCGGUGGGGCUGGUUCCUUCUGGAGACUUCUGGGAAGGGGAGAAGCCGCUUUCUUGGCUUUCCCAGUUUCUGGAGUGGCUGCAUCCUGCACUCUCGGCCCCGCCAUGCCACCAAGGCCUCCGUUUCUGUAGCCUCUGCUGCUCUCUGGCAUCUGCACGGUUGCCCCGAAGCCGCUCCGCGACGGCCCUCCCUGAGCUGUGUAGCGCUGGGGGGAGGAGGCGUGGCCACAGUGGGCUGCAUUCAGGAUCUUGAAAGCCACUGAAGCCAUGGCUGGCUCUCAGUCCUCAGGGAGCCUCUUCCCCUGCCUGGCACCAGGCUCCCAGAAUCUGGGAGGCAGCCUCUUCAUCUGGCUGCUGGUGGAGACCUGAGCCCAGCCCCAGGGUCCUCAGUCCUGCCCCUUGUCCUCCGCAAGCUCUCACUACAUCCUACCUAUGUCCAGGGACCUCGGCCCAUGCAUCUGCCCAGAUCCCAGCCUACCCGAGAGCAUGCAUCCCCAACUGGACCAGCACCCAACACAGCCCAGGGCUCCCCUGACCCACAUAAACCUUGUUAAUAUUG